rnacentral:rRNA from 1 species
CGUACACUCCUGCGGGGAGGAAGGCGAUAAGGUUAAUAACCUUGUUGAUUGACGUUACCCGCAGAAGAAGCACCGGCUAACUCCGUGCCAGCAGCCGCGGUAAUACGGAGGGUGCAAGCGUUAAUCGGAAUUACUGGGCGUAAAGCGCACGCAGGCGGUCUGUCAAGUCGGAUGUGAAAUCCCCGGGCUCAACCUGGGAACUGCAUUCGAAACUGGCAGGCUAGAGUCUUGUAGAGGGGGGUAGAAUUCCAGGUGUAGCGGUGAAAUGCGUAGAGAUCUGGAGGAAUACCGGUGGCGAAGGCGGCCCCCUGGACAAAGACUGACGCUCAGGUGCGAAAGCGUGGGGAGCAAACAGGAUUAGAUACCCGAGUAGUCCC